GACGAACGCUGGCGGCGUGCCUAAUACAUGCAAGUAGAACGCUGAAGGAGGAGCUUGCUUCUCUGGAUGAGUUGCGAACGGGUGAGUAACGCGUAGGUAACCUGCCUGGUAGCGGGGGAUAACUAUUGGAAACGAUAGCUAAUACCGCAUAAGAGUAGAUGUUGCAUGACAUUUGCUUAAAAGGUGUAAUUGCAUCACUACCAGAUGGACCUGCGUUGUAUUAGCUAGUUGGUGGGGUAACGGCUUACCAAGGCGACGAUACAUAGCCGACCUGAGAGGGUGAUCGGCCACACUGGGGCUGAGACACGGCCCAGACUCCUACGGGAGGCAGCAGUAGGGAAUCUUCGGCAAUGGACGGAAGUCUGACCGAGCAACGCCGCGUGAGUGAAGAAGGGUUUCGGAUCGUAAAGCUCUGUUGUAAGAGAAGAACGAGUGUGAGAGUGGAAAGUUCACACUGUGACGGUAUCUUACCAGAAAGGGACGGCUAACUACGUG
rnacentral:rRNA from 1 species